UACGUAGGGUGCAAGCGUUAAUCGGAAUUACUGGGCGUAAAGCGUGCGCAGGCGGUUUUGUAAGUCUGACGUGAAAUCCCGGGGCUCAACCUGGGAAUUGCGUUGGAGACUGCAAGGCUAGAAUCUGGCAGAGGGGGGUAGAAUUCCACGUGUAGCAGUGAAAUGCGUAGAGAUGUGGAAGAACACCGAUGGCGAAGGCAGCCCCCUGGGUCAAGAUUGACGCUCAUGCACGAAAGCGUGGGGAGCAAACAGG
rnacentral:rRNA from 1 species